CCUGCAGAGUCCGGGUGUGUAGGCUAUGCUGUCAAUGCACUCAACCCCCCAGCCACAGAGACAGGCUCCAAGUCAGGCCACUCACUGUCACCAAAGCUCAGUUCUCUGACUUGUGUCGCCAUGCUCAGGGAAGCGAAUGAUGUCUUCUGCUGCAACAGAUGCUACAGCGAUGAUAACCUGAAGCCACUGAAGUCACCAGGCAGAACCCAUUAAUGUGUUCCACCCAGAGGAACCAGUGCAAAAUAGUGGAGCCUUGUGACAUCAUUUGGACCCUGAAACAGGACUCAGCUAAAGCUAGAUCUACCCCUGGACAUUUUAGCUUACAUGAGCAGCCACUCCCCUUCUUAUUUAGUUUGAAUCAGGUUUUCUGCCCCAGCAACUGAAAGAGUCUUAACCGAUGCAGACACUCACCAGCUUCACUACCAGAGGCCCAUCAGUUAUAUGCCAGAGACUUCUAGGGCUAGGGAUACACAAACAAAAGACAUGGUCACUUUCAUCAGCUUCCUCUCUACUAUGAGGAAGAGGAGAGGAAGCAGAAAUGACUAUUACGUCAGGUAGACAGUGUUGAGUACCCCUUGGUGGGGACCCAGGCUGUGAAGUCAAGGACUACCCAGGAUCACACAGGGAGACGGUGGUGAGACCACACUGGAGAACUCCACAGUGUCAUGCGGGUUGCUCAAUGCUAUUUGUCCCAACACUUCCACUUUUAAUAAAUAUUUUGCAAGGCCUCCUUGCAAAAUCAUGAAACAGAAUUCAUAGAUAAUAUAACCUAGUUACAAAAUGAUUUCAAGAAAAGCCAACAGAAAGAACUGAACAUAGCAUAGAGAAGAAAUAAAAUUAAUUUCUAGUAAAAUAAAAUCUGC
rnacentral:lncRNA from 1 species